rnacentral:rRNA from 1 species
GACGAACGCUGGCGGCGUGCCUAACACAUGCAAGUCGAACGGGACUCUUUGGAUCGAGGCUUCGGCCAAGUGAAUCUGAGUUUAGUGGCGAACGGGUGAGUAACGCGUGAGUAACCUGCCUUUCAGAGGGGGACAACAGUUGGAAACGACUGCUAAUACCGCAUGAUGCAUUCGAGGGGCAUCCCUUGAAUGCCAAAGAUUUAUCGCUGAAAGAUGGACUCGCGUCUGAUUAGCUAGUUGGUGAGGUAACGGCCCACCAAGGCAACGAUUGGUAGCCGGACUGAGAGGUUGAACGGCCACAUUGGGACUGAGACACGGCCCAG